UAUAUCGGUGUUUGCUGGGAUAUAUCUUAUAAAAUAUUCAUUUUUUGGUCUUACCUUAUAGAGGAAUCAGAUAAGAUUAGCUGGUGUGCCUUGCAGUAGCUCACUCCUCUCCCAGAUAAACAGCAUUAGAAGAUCCUUUCACUUGCUGAUAAUACUCAUGUCAUAUGAGGAUGCAUCUGUUAAUGUUUAUGCAAGCAUUUUCAAUUUUAAAAUGUUAUGCAGACAAUCUGCUGAUAUACGUCUAUCUGGGCUAAUAAACAUAGAUAUAUGUGAUAAUAUGUGGAUAUUCAUUAGAUUAAAAGAGUUAUCAUGGAUUUUUAUAGCUCUUUGAUAGACAUGGAUGUACAAUGGAUAUGGAUAUCCAAUAAUGGAUAUGGAUAUCCUUGAUAGAUUUUCACUGGAUAUGAACAUGUGGACAUUCAUUGGAUAUUCUUAAUAGAUUUUCGGUGGAUAUAAAUAUUUGAAUAUUAUGUGGAUAUCCUUAGUAAAGAAGUGGACAUAGAUAUUUAUAUGAUAUUCAGUGAACAUAGAUAAUAUGGGAAUAUCACCGAGAUAUCUUUUGUAGAUUUUUUUCAGUAGCAUGGAUAUGUGAAUAUAUUAUAUACAGGGUGUCUGAGACCAUCCAUACAUGCUGAAUAUUUUGAAAACUGAGCGCGAUAGAUAAACAUGUUUUAAACAAAAGUUGUAAGGCUUUAACAAAUACAUGAAAUAGUUAUACAUAUAUUUGACCUUGACAGCAGUUAUGAAGAAAGUCUCUAGGUCAACUUUAAAAUCUUAAACGGAAAUUCCCAUUUUUUAUCAUCUACCAAUUAAUUGGAACAACUUUUGUCUAAAACAUUUUUUUUUAAUGUUUUCUUUUU